GGGGAUGUAGUUCAGUUGGUAGAGUGCUUGCCUUACAUGCAUAAAAACCUGGGUUCAAUCCCCAGCACUACAA
rnacentral:tRNA from 1 species